AUCGGUAGUGACGCCACCAUUUUUGCCAAGACAUUGAGCAAGACAGAGCAGGAUGUCGAUGAAUGUUCAUUCUCAAAUAUUUUGAUGAAUAUUUAAAAGUUCAUUUAGCCUAUUUCCACUUGGCCAAAUCAUCUGGUCACAUGUCUGGCUUGACUGCUGUCCUGCACCCUGCCAAAAUGUCCUCAUUCUCCAUUGCAACGUUUAACAGCCAGGUGAAGUUUGCGCUUCUGCAGUGCUGACUAACAUGGUUUGGUUGCAACCAGCUGUUGAAUGAUGUGGUGAGCCGGUGAGCUGCUUCCAUGCAGUCUGUAAUGUUGGUGUUAUAUCCUGAAAUGUGUUGGUUGUUGUGGACUUGUAACACUACUAUACUUAUUUGUCAUUUGUUGUGACAUUAUUCAGCAUAUAAAAGGUGGCAAUUCCAUCUCAUCAUGUGACCUGAAACUGCUGUACAUUUUCCCAAAAUCACAUGCAGAAAUACUUCAUAACACUGACACACAGUGAAGUCUGAGCUUCUUCAUUUUGCAGUCCAUUGUGCACAUGGACUUGUUGCUGCCAGCUGGUGAAAGGUUUUCCUCUUGCAUGCUUGCUACCUGUACCGAUCAGAUAUCAAAGUUAUUCUGUUGGACUGCGUAGUUUUCUGUUACUCUUUGUAUUCUUUUGUUAUAAUGAGUAUAGCAAACACUUCUUUAAAGCUGGUGGUCACCUUGUUGCAGCCAAAUGGUGAAAGGUGUGACGAAGACAGAUCAUUGAACCGUUGUAUGCAGCAUGCGGCUGCAGUGUAAUCCAGAAGUUGCUGUGCUCUUGUAGCUGAGCUGUUCCAUCUGGGUCCCUGAAUUAACAAUUUUUUUUUUGUCGUUUUUAUCCAUGCCAUGAAAUUGCUGUGCAUUUUGUGUUGCUGACUUUGCUGUGACUUGUUGCGACAUUCUAUUUUGUGCUGCUGACUUUCCUGACAAAAAGUUUGAUCUGUUGUCGUUUGAGUUUUCAUUCAA
rnacentral:lncRNA from 1 species